rnacentral:ncRNA from 1 species
UGGAGCUGGUACGUUACCUGUGCCAGAUUAGUCAGUAAUUACUAUUUAUAACUUCACUGUAUGCUGGAAACCCCUAAAGCCUUUAGGUACUAUAUAAUUUAUUUUAAUAAAAAGUAUCUUAAAUAAUUCUAUAAGUUAAAAUCUUAAAGGAUGUAACAAUGGAUAAUCAGCAGGAAACUAAAUAUUUUUAUAAAAAUGAAUUAAAGAAAGUAGGAUCCUCAGAGACUACACGUGAAGCUCCUUUAACAAGAGGAUGAAGAUAUAGUCCAUUAUACACAUGAAAGUAUGUA